rnacentral:lncRNA from 1 species
UUCAUGUAAACACAUCUAUGUAAACGUAUUCAUGUAAGCGGAGAUCUUUGUAAGUGUAUCCCUAUAAGUAUAUCCAUGUAAGAGGAAUCUCUGUAAGAGUAUCCCUUCAUAUAGCAUGUAGUCUAGACUCAUGAAUGAACUGACUCUGGUGUAAUUUCUUCUAAUAAGAAUAAUGUUUUGUAUCCCCUAAACUAUUGCUAUAAUAGUUUACUAGAAUGUAAUUGAUGAGUGUCCAAGUAGGUUUAUACACUCUUGCUACCCAAGAGUGUCGGAAUUGAACUGACUGAUGGAACAUUUAAGACUAUAUAUGUACAUAUGAUAUAUAACUAAUAUUUAAACGACUUUCGGACGAGUACCCAAUAUCCCAUCAGACCACAUCCAAAUCGAGGAAAAGGAAACAGGGUGGAUAGCCUUCCUAAGUCUUUUAAACAUUUCUUAUAUAACUAUACAUAUAGAGGCAUGCAAUUUAUAAUAUAAAAGCAUAAAAGAAGUUUUGUAAAACCUUUGAAAAGUUUAGUGGAUAAGAAUUUAUGACUUGAUGUCAGUUUAUAAAUAUAAUCGAAAACCGUUUGACAACACAGUUUAAGUGUGAGAAAACCUUUGUUUGAAGCACAACUACAAGAGAUUCAAAAAAAAGGAAGCCUACAGUUUGUAAGACAGUUUCUAAAAGUAUUUCAACAUGUAAAAACGUUUGAGAAAACUAUUUGAAGUACAUAUGAAAAUGUUCGUUUGUUCUGGUAUAUGAAUGUAUCUCCUUGAAAUAGUAUUUCUAGUAAGUAAAAGUUCGUGAUGUUCUCGUAAAACUAUACCUAUUAUAGUUUUCUUUAAGUGUGUCUCGUUUGUAUAGUAAUCCCUAGUAAAAUGUUCACUUGUUAUGAAAAGUAUAAUUUUUAUAGUGUCUAAGAUGGACACAUAAACAUACAGUAUAAGCAGAGUGUUUGAUUUAUACAUAUAUAACAACCUUUUUCAUUUCAAAAGAUAUGAUGUUAUCGUGAUACAUUUUGCAUAUGAAAGUUUCCUUAUAAUAGUUAUAAAUCACAUAUGAUUCCAUUCAUAAAAAGUGUAUAAUGAAACUUUAUAUAACACACGAAAAUUAUCGUGUGUUUUACUUGUAUUCCCCCCUUAAAAGCAUAUUGAACAUUUAUAAAACAUUUAAAAGUGUAGAUUAUAGGGGUAUGAACUCACUUGAUAGAUUGAAGAAAGCGAGACGAAAACCGAGUAGAACUUCUACUCAAGCAAGCGGAUUUCUCGGGAUUCUCGGGAAUCUCGGGAACGUAAAACUUCCUUCCCAACUUGGAUAUGAAAAUCGGGCCUUUGGGAUGACUCCGAGGGUUGAAACGUAGAGCUUCGGCGCGAGAAAGGGAAGAAUUGAGCAAAAAUGGCCGGCAUCCUCGCACCCUUUAUAUAGGGUCUGAAUCCCUCGCGUACGCUGGGCGUACGCAACGUCAUGCAUGAGCACAUCCUUGGUCGAAGCAUCGGAGCGACGUGGACGAGUCGGAGCCUAGCAUCCGAGUACGCUGGGCGUACGAGGGUACACUGGGCAUACGAGGGUACGCUGGGCGUAACUUGGAUUGGUCCGAUGACUCCUCCUUCGGAUAAUAUCGGAUUUUGAAUUAAAUUUAUAUUUUAAUUAUUCAGUAAACUUCAAAAAUUCAUAUCUUCCUCAUACGAACUCCGUUUUCGACGUUCUUUAUAUCCACGCGAAGGUGAGACUACGAGCUACAACUUUCGUUUAGACUCCAUCGGCAAAUUCUGACUUUAUUUUUAAUAUUAUAUUUUAAUAGGUUGGGACAGGAAAAGUCCGUUAAAGUUCCAUAACUUCUUCAUCCGACGUCCGUUUCCGUCAGACUUUUUACCGUUGCGCUUCUAUUGUUGAGACCUUCGAUUCUCAUUUAGUUUGUGUCGGCUAAAAGUCUCUCGAUCUCUAUUUCGAGUUUUUUGCUGUCUACUGCUAUAUCCGUAACUUAGAAAAAUCAUAACUUCCUCAUACGAAGUCAGAUUUGGACGUUCUUUUGAUGUACGCUUAUGGUUUAANUUCUUAAGUGAACUCGGUUGCUCGCUUGGCAUUCCAGCGAACCUUUCACUAUCGGGAUACGACUUUGCUUCUUUCGUUUGACUUCACUGGCAUGAUAACUCUUCUUGGUCGAACGUAUGUUGAAUGUUUUUGUGGACUGUGAGAAUAGUACAUAUUGUACCCUACAAGUAGUGUCUCCAGAUAUUCAAAGCAAUCCUUCUUGAGGUGCCCUAUCUCCCCGCAUUGGUGGCAUGACUGGCUACCUUGCUNNNNNNNNNNNNNNNNNNNNNNNNNNNNNNNNNNNNNNNNNNNNNNNNNNNNNNNNNNNNNNNNNNNNNNNNNNNNNNNNNNNNNNNNNNNNNNNNNNNNNNNNNNNNNNNNNNNNNNNNNNNNNNNNNNNNNNNNNNNNNNNNNNNNNNNNNNNNNNNNNNNNNNNNNNNNNNNNNNNNNNNNNNNNNNNNNNNNNNNNNNNNNNNNNNNNNNNNNNNNNNNNNNNNNNNNNNNNNNNNNNNNNNNNNNNNNNNNNNNNNNNNNNNNNNNNNNNNNNNNNNNNNNNNNNNNNNNNNNNNNNNNNNNNNNNNNNNNNNNNNNNNNNNNNNNNNNNNNNNNNNNNNNNNNNNNNNNNNCUCCCGCCACCAAGGCUAGCACUAGCCAGUCAUGCCACCAAUGUGGGGAGAUAGGGCACCUCAAGAAGGAUUGCCCUAUAACAAAGAACUCUGGCGUAGACGGUAGGAUUCUCAGGAUCACAGUUGUAGGAGAACCUACUCCGAACCCACGUUAAUGUAAUUUAGGCGUUUCGUUGUAACAGACUUAUAAACCAUCCAAAACUAGUGCAACCAGAGUCUUAUCUUUUGUGGGAUCUCGUCGGUAUAGGGAUGCUCGUGCUGGGUAUACUUGCCUUUUGUAGUAUACCUUAUUCGCAACAAUAGUCUUAUAGUAGUCUAAAGUACUGUAACUCUGUUGAUGGUUGCACGAUUGUGUUUUGUCUAUAAACGUCUUAUGUUCAAAUCUAAUGUCUUUAAGUUUCCUUAUGAUUCCGACAUUAUCAUACGACUUGAUUUAGUUUGAUUCUCACAAAAACAACUUCAUACGUGCAUCUCUUUCUUCGAAAUCACCUUUCCAACGAAGCCGUCAUAUCGGAACACCAAGUACUCAUGGAUGGAGUACCUCAUAGUUCUUUUCCUUUCCGAAGAAAUCCCCGAAGUACCACUCGUACAGUACGUCAAGUUCAAAUCCAAAGAUCCAUACAGUUGAUCUGUCGCUGAUGAAUGUAUACAUAGGGGUGAUGUAUAAUCAAGGUUCUACAGGUUUAGAAUUGACGAUUCCGCUUUAACUCCUUUUUCUUCGAUGGGAUGUGAGCUUAAAGAAGAAUCAGUUAUUCGACUACCUUUUCAAUCUUAAUUAUAUACAACUCGUAUAUACGAGAUUGUGAUCGUUGAACCAUGUAUGAAUUCUAAUAUGAACUUCAGGACAGAGACAGCCCAAGACUACGAGUGAUCGUGUUGCCAUGCGAAUAAACUUAGAAGCCCAACACAUGCCCUUUCUGUCGAUUGGGACAAGAAAGAUAGAUAGAACAAAAGUACCUAUCCUUUUUCCUUAAUUCAUGGGUAAUCAUACUUUCUUUUAGAUCUUCACGACAUCUAAUCAACCACAAGGUUCUGACAUCAUAAUCAGUAUGAAUUGGUUGUGUUCUUAUGCAAGAGGAAAGGUUACUGCCUAUACCUCAAGAUAGCUUAAGACACAGGAAGUUAACUAUACAACACAUGAUCUUGAGUCAAGAGCAGCGGUAAUUGCUUUGAAGAUCUGGAGACACUACUUGUAGGGUACAAGAUGUACUAUUCUCACAGUCCACAAAAACAUUCAACAUACGUUCGACCAAGAAGAGUUAUCAUGCCAGUGAAGUCAAACGAAAGAAGCAAAGUCGUAUCCCGAUAGUGAAAGGUUCGCUGGAAUGCCAAGCGAGGAACCGAGUUCACUUAAGAACAUGAGGAGCAAAUAAAACUUCUAUCCGUAGCAUGAACUCUAAUUUCGGGACGAAAUUCCCUCUAACAGGGGGAUGAUGUGACAACCCGAUAUUCCGAGACAAUAUGAUGGAACACAAGUCAAAUUUAGAUCAAAAUUUAACUUUCCUAAAAUCUUAUUUGGGUUAAAUAAAGUAGUGGGAAUCGUAUCAAGGUUGUCGUACAUAUAAAGAACCCUAAAAUCUGAGUUAUAACGAAGAAGUUAUGACCAACCGAAGAUUCUCGGCAAAACCGGCAACACUGAUAGACGUAAAACGCGAAGUUACAAUACAAUAAUUUUUAGCUUUAGGUAUCUAAAUGAAGGUUCUAGAUAUCAUUAAAGUGUAAACAUACAUAAAAAGAAUGCCCAAAUCUGACUUCAUAUGAGGAAGUUAUGAUUUUUCUAAGUUUAAGACAUAGCAGUAGACAGCUAAAAACUCGAAAUCGAAAUCGAACAGCUUUUUGCCAACAUGACCUAAAUGAGAAUCGAAGAUCUCAUUAAUGUUAUUACAACGGUAAAAAGUCUGGCGAAAACAGACAUCGGAUGAAUAAGUUAUGGAAUUUUAACGGACUUUUCCUGCCCGGCCUAUUAAAAAUAUCAUAUUAAAAAUAAAAUCAAAAUUAGCCGACGAAGUCUAAACGAAAGUUGUAGACCGUAGUCUCACCUACGCGUGGAUAUAAAGAACGUCAAAAACGGAGUUCGUAUGAGGAAGAUAUGAAUUUUUGAAGUUUACUAAAUAAUUAAAAUAUAAAUUUAAUUCAAAAUCCGGUAUUAUCCGAAGGAGGAGUCAUCGGACCAAUCCAAGAUACGCCCAGCGUACCCUCGUACGCCUAGCGUACUCGGAUGCUAGGCUCCGGCUCGUCCACGUCGCUUCGAUGCUUCGACCGAGGAUGCGCUCAUGCAUGACGCAUGAGUACGCCACGCGUACUCUCGUACGCCCAGCGUACCGAGGUCCUCCAGCCACUAUAAAUAGAAUGCGAGGGUGCCGGCCAUUUUUGCUCGUUUCCUCCCUUUCUCAUGCCGAAGCUCUGUGUUUCAACCCUCGGAGCCAUCCCAAAGUCCCAAUUUUCAUAUCCAAGUUGGGAAGGAAGUUUUACGCUCUCGAGAUUCCCGAGAAUCCCAAGAAAUCCGCUUGCUUGAGUAGAAGUUCUGCUCGCUUUUCGUCUCGCUUUCUUCAAUCUAUCAAGUGAGUUCAUACCCCUAUAAUCUACACUUUUAAAUGUUUUAUUAAUACUUUUAUAUGCUUUUAAGGGGGGGGGGGAAUACAAGUAAAACACACGAUUAUUAUCGUGUGUUAUAUAAAGUUUCAUUAUACACUUUUAUCAACAGAAUCAUAUGUGAUUUAUAACUAUUAUAGGGAAACUUUCGUAUGCAAAAUAUAUCACGAUAACAUCAUAUCUUUUGAAAUGAAAAAUGUUGUUAUAUAUGUAUAAAUCAAACACUCUGCUUAUACUGUAGGUAUAUGUGUCCAUCUUAGGCACUACAAAAAUUAUACUUUUCAUAACAAGUGAACAUUUCACUAGGGAUUACUAUACAAACGAGACACACUUUUAGAAAACUAUAAUAGGUAUAGUUUUACGAGAACAUCACAAACUUUUACAAACUAGAAAUACUAUUUCAAGGAGAUACAUUCAUAUACAAGAACAAACGAACAUUUUCAUAUAUACUUCAAAUGGUUUUACAUGUUAAAACACUUUUAGAAACUGUCUUACAAACUGUAGGUUUCCUUUUGAAUCUCUUAUAGUUGUGCUUCAAACAAAGGUUUUCUCACACUUAAACUGUGUUGUCAAACGGUUUUCGAUUUGAUUUAUAAACUAACAUCAAGUCAUAAAUUCUUAUCUACUAAACUUUUCAAAGGUUUUACAAAACUUCUUUUAUGCUUUUAUAUUAUAAAUUGCAUGCCUCUAUAUGUAUAGUUAUAUAAGAAAUGUUUAAAAGACUUAGGAAGGCUAUCCACCCUGUUUCCUUUUCCUCGAUUUGGAUGUGGUCUGGUGGGAUAUCGGGUACCCGUCCGAAGGUCGUUUAAAUAUUAGUUAUAUAUCAUGUGUACAUAUAUAGUCAUAAAUGUUCCAUCAGUUAAUUCAGUUCCGACACUCUUGGGUAGCAAGGGUGUAUAAACCUACUUGGACACUCAUCAAUUACAUUCUAGUAAACUAUUAUAGGAAUAGUUUAGGGGAUACAAAACAUUAUCCUUAUUACAAGAAAUUACACCAGAGUCCGUUCAUUCAUGAGUCUAGACUACAUGCUAUAUGAAGGGAUACUCUUACAGAGAUUCCUAUUACAUGGACACACUUAUAUGGAUACUCUUACAGAGAUUUCGCUUACAUGAAUACGUUUACAUAGAUACGAUUAGAUGAGUACGUUUACGCAAAUAAUAUAUGAUGAGUUACUAUUACAUAUUAUAUGUGUAGAUACUGUUAUAUAGUUCUCCUUCUUAUCUUUACCUUGUGAUACAAUCACAUCAUCGACGAGAUAAAUUGGACUUUAUAUCCUAGUACCAAAGGACACUUUGUGGGACUAACCAUUCCUAUCACCAUUGUUAGCUACAGAGGUAAAUGAACAUCUACGGAUGUUUUUGGUUGAUACCAUUACAGGUAUACUUAAGGGACUAACUAUUCCUAAACCCGAUUGUUAGCAACAGAGGUAAAUGCACAUCUACGGAUGUCUACGGUUGAACCAUUUACGGCGAGUUUCCACGCCGUGUGUAUCUUAGUACCAAAGGAUACAACAUAAGUUAUUAUAUUAUUACUUUUUUAAUUUUAUAAUAAUAGUUAAACAGGGAAAAACCAUCACAUUUUCAAGUGAUGCGUACUUUCAAAACAGUCAGGUCUUGGUUAAAGACUACUUUCAAAACAUUUGGGUCUUGGUUGAAGACUACUUUUUAUACUAGUAGGAAAUAUGGGAUUUUCUAGGGUUUUCAUACUUAUACUAAAUGUUUCAUCAAACAUUCACCAGUCUUUCAUAACAAAUUUUCAAAGCAAUAACAUUAAAAUACUUAUGAAUUCACCAGCUUUAUUGCUGAUACUCGCUUUCAAAAUAACUUGUAUUCUCAGGUUACAAAUAGACAGGUACCGAUGCAAGGUUUAGAGAAGACAGAGCAGUCAAGACUCGUCUUUUAAUUUGAGUAUUCGUUAUGUUGUUUUAUACUAUGAAAGAACACAUUUGUAAGCUGAAUUAUUCUAUUAAUGCAAUGGAUGGUGUUGUUGCUUGUUUACUACUUUACAUUGUUGUGAUACAUACAUGACGUCCUCCGCCCCAGAACAUUUAUGCCGUUCUCGGUUUUGGGGUGUGACAAAUUGGUAUCAAUCUGUCACACCCCAAAACCGAGAACGGCGGAAACGUUCUGGGGCGGAGGACGUCAUGUAUUAGGAAAAUAUAGCCAUAUAAGUAUUAUCCUUUGGUAUUAGGAUAAACACGACAUCACAAUUGCCGAAACGUUCUCACCGUGAAUAUCCGUAGAUGUUCAUUUUCCUAUGUAGCUAACAGCAGGUGGAAGGAAUGGUUAGUUCCUUAAAUGUUUCCUAGUAUAAGUAUUAACCGUAGACAUCAGGAGAUGUGUCAUUAUCCUCUGUAGCUAACAGUGGCUAUAGGAAUGGUUAGUCCCACAAAGUAUCCUUUGGUACUAGGAUAUAAAGUCCAAUCUAUCUCGUCGAUUAUGUGAUUGUAUCACAAGGUAAAGAUAAGAAGGAGAACUAUAUAACAGUAUCUACAUAUAUAAUAUGUAAUAGUAACUCAUCAUAUAUUAUCUACGUAAACGUAUUCAUGUAAACGCAUCUAUGUAAACAUAUUCAUGUAAGCGGAGAUCUUUGUAAGUGUAUCCCUAUAAGUAUAUCCAUGUAAGAGGAAUCUCUGUAAGAGUAUCCCUUCAUAUAGCAUGUAGUCUAGACUCAUGAAUGAACUGACUCUGGUGUAAUUUCUUGUAAUAAGAAUAAUGUUUUGUAUCCCCUAAACUAUUCCUAUAAUAGUUUACUAGAAUGUAAUUGAUGAGUGUCCAAGUAGGUUUAUACACUCUUGCUACCCAAGAGUGUCGGAAUUGAACUGACUGAUGGAACAUUUAAGACUAUAUAUGUACAUAUGAUAUAUAACUAAUAUUUAAACGACUUUCGGACGAGUACCCAAUAUCCCAUCAGACCACAUCCAAAUCGAGGAAAAGGAAACAGGGUGGAUAGCCUUCCUAAGUCUUUUAAACAUUUCUUAUAUAACUAUACAUAUAGAGGCAUGCAAUUUAUAAUAUAAAAGCAUAAAAGAAGUUUUGUAAAACCUUUGAAAAGUUUAGUAGAUAAGAAUUUAUGACUUGAUGUCAGUUUAUAAAUCAAAUCGAAAACCGUUUGACAACACAGUUUAAGUGUGAGAAAACCUUUGUUUGAAGCACAACUAUAAGAGAUUCAA